CGGCGAGUGAAGCGGCAACAGCUCAAAUUUGAAAUCUGGUCACCUUACGGAGGCCCGAGUUGUAAUUUGAAGAGGAUGCUUUUGGCGAGGUGCCUUCCGAGUGCCCUGGAACGGGACGCCACAGAGGGUGAGAGCCCCGUAUGGUUGGACACCGAGCCUAUGUAAAGCUCCUUCGACGAGUCGAGUAGUUUGGGAAUGCUGCUCAAAAUGGGAGGUAAACCCCUUCUAAAGCUAAAUAUUGGCCAGAGACCGAUAGCGCACAAGUAGAGUGAUCGAAAGAUGAAAAGCACUUUGAAAAGAGAGUUAAACAGCACGUGAAAUUGUUGAAAGGGAAGCGCUUGCGACCAGACUUGCGCCCGUCGGAUCAACCGUCGCUUGUCGGCGGCGCACUCCGGCGGGCUCAGGCCAGCAUCAGUUUUCCCGGGGGGAGAAAGGCGGUGGGAAUGUAGCUCCUAGGAGUGUUAUAGCCCGCCGCGUAAUACCCUCGGGGGGACUGAGGACCGCGCAUC
rnacentral:rRNA from 1 species